GGUUAGCAGAUCAAUGAUUGUAAUCCGGGAAUUGCUGAGAGUUUGUAACGCCCGUAUUCAUAGACUUCAGAAUUUAUAACAAUUUUCUGACGCGUGACGCAAUUAGAUUAUACCCGUUUUUGCUUUUCUUUUCAUAAGCAACUGUUACAAACAAUCCAUAAUUAUAAGCCAGGAUGUUUUCUGAAAAUAAUCUUGACAAAGAUUAUUCCAGCAUAUCUAAACACGGACUACGAUCGCGUGUUUGUAACAACGAAAGAGAUUUUGAUGAAAGUUUACGAGGGUUUGCUGAAUAUUAUAUCUACGAUUAUAUCAACAGAAGACGUACCAUGAUGCCUCACUUACUUGUGAAUAUAAGUAGAAUUAAAAAAUUCCGAGAUUUAUGUAACGAAGAUAUUGUAGGCAGACAUUUUCCAAUCACUAACGUCAUAUAUGAAUUUCAUUCCUUUCGUUACAUGCUUAAUGUAAUUGCAGAUAAUGUGGAGAUCUCUAUAAAUUUCGAAAAAUACAGUCUGCCAAUUUUUAUUAUUUUAGGUCUGUUAGGUAACUGUUUGUCCGUUAUUGUACUCUUCCGUAAAACGAUGCGUUCUACCUCGUCCAACAUCUAUUUGGGCAUGCUAGCAACAAGCGAUAUCGUUUGUUCAAUGAUGUUACUCAUUGAAUGGCUCCUUUUAACGAAUAAAAACCCAAGAGAAAAUUAU